rnacentral:misc_RNA from 1 species
GAUGAAGAACGUAGUGAAAUGCGAUAAGUAAUGUGAAUUGCAGAAUUCAGUGAAUCAUCGAAUCUUUGAACGCACAUUGCGCCCGCCAGUAUUCUGGCGGGCAUGCCUGUUCGAGCGUCAUUUCAACCCUCAGGCCCCCAGUGCCUGGUGUUGGGGAUCGGCCCAGCCUUCCUGUAAGGCCGCCGGCCCCGAAAUCUAGUGGCGGUCUCGCUGUAGUCCUCCUCUGCGUAGUAGCACAACCUCGCAGUUGGAACGCGGCGGUGGCCAUGCCGUUAAACACCCCACUUCUGAAAGUUGACCUCGGAUCAGGUAGGAAUACCCGCUGAACUUAAGCAUAUCAAUAAGCGGAGGA